AUUGAACGCUGGCGGCAUGCCUUACACAUGCAAGUCGAACGGUAACGCGGGGCAACCUGGCGACGAGUGGCGAACGGGUGAGUAACGCAUCGGAACGUGCCCAGUAGUGGGGGAUAGCCCGGCGAAAGCCGGAUUAAUACCGCAUACGACCUCAGGGUGAAAGCGGGGGAUCGCAAGACCUCGCGCUAUUGGAGCGGCCGAUGUCAGAUUAGGUAGUUGGUGGGGUAAAAGCCUACCAAGCCUGCGAUCUGUAGCUGGUCUGAGAGGGCGACCAGCCACACUGGGACUGAGACACGGCCCAGACUCCUACGGGAGGCAGCAGUGGGGAAUUUUGGACAAUGGGCGAAAGCCUGAUCCAGCCAUGCCGCGUGCGGGAAGAAGGCCUUCGGGUUGUAAACCGCUUUUGUCGGGGAAGAAACGUCGCGACCUAAUACGUCGCGGUAAUGACGGUACCUGAAGAAUAAGCACCGGCUAACUACGUG
rnacentral:rRNA from 1 species